ACUACACCAUCAUCUUUCUGUUUUGAGUCCCCACACAUUGCCAACCAAUUUGCAAAUUCCUGCAUCUCCUUGACAAGAUUUACUCUACUGAUGUGGAACAAGCAAAACUUUACCUGCCAGGAGGAGAAUGGAGACCCCACUCAAGAAUGCUGGCAGUAUAUCCCAAGGACUAAAUGAGCAGGCCGAAGAGGAGGGCACAUCCCAAGAAAUAAGUGAG